rnacentral:lncRNA from 1 species
AAGCUGCCUGAGUCCAGUCUUUGUCUCCUGCUGCUGCUAGGACUUGUGCUAAUGCUUGCCUCAUGCCAGCAACCAACCCUUCCCCAGAAGGUUUAGACCGAGUCUAUCUAUAAUAGCACCUACCGCCUAUGUGAUGUUGCAAUGCUGGUUGUUAACAGGUAUAGACCAAGAUGUAAGGACAUAGAUAUUUUUCUUCACACCAGUUUUGCUGAUGUUGUUGGUGUGUGUGGCCAUCCAAAUAUCACCUGCAACAACGUGACAAAAAAUAACUGUCAUACAAGUUUAUUUCUGGUAUCUGUAACUUUUUGUAACCUCACUACUCUGACAAGAAUUUACACCCAAUGCAGAUACCAAUGACAGGAUCAGUGAAGUACAACAAAGUGGCCUGUAAGUCCAGAACUCCACAGGACACUCCUAUCUAUCCAGUGGUUCCAGUUCACUUGGAUGGGAC